rnacentral:lncRNA from 1 species
AAAAUAGAAGCAGCGCACUAGUGUAAUUGGGCCUGAUAUAACGUUAGUUGUGGUACUGCCUUUAAUGGUAACUACAAAAAUUAAUAGGAAAAGCCAAAUUGUUUUCUAUYGCAAAACAAGCUAGGAGACAUGUCAGGAGGUUUUUGCGUUCAGCUGCCAUGCACUUAGCAGGAUAACACUCUCGGCAAGUCAAUCUAUUUUGGCUGUUUGUACACAGAGCAUUUCCUUCUGCUUCAUCUCUUGCAAUCAGGCACCUUACUUGUACUGCAAGAGCCGUUUCUCAGAUUUACACUGGAAACAGCUCUAGUUCCACUCAUUUACGUAGCUGACAAGACCAUCCCAGUGACUCAACGCGGGAAAUACGAGGACUGGAAACGGCCACGCACGGCACAGCCGCUCGCUCUCCAGGCUGCUGCCCGGACGGCUCUGCUGUUCUGCACAGCCUCCUGAGCAAUCCUGCACWGCAGCCUUGAAGAAACAACUAUCAAACAUCUUUCUGCUAUUCCUGCACUGGCUUUCUAUGAAAGAUAUUGAAAUGAUCUGCUGUGCAUUUCCAAAGGCCACGAACAUACCUGACGCCUGACAGGAGCUGGGUUCGCCUUCUUGCCUUUUCCCAGCAAAACCAGUAUUUCUCCUCAGAGAUAAAGGCCAGUCCUUUGCACAAGGGACAUGCGAGUCAGCAGGGAAAGACUUGACUGAUGCUAUGGAGAGAAGACAGACGCUCCAGAUGCAAAGGAGGAAGAAAACCCAUUUAUUUAGGACUGAGAAGAAUGAGUCAACCCCAGCUGAAGAAAAGCAAACUUUAUACAACAUUAAAAAUAUUCCCUUUCAUUUUACAAGAGUUUUUGAAAUACUAUCAUCUGGCAAACUGGGUGGGUGAAAAUAACCAUGUGCUGCCUGAUAGGGUUGUAAUUUCUUUGGAAGAAAAUUAUGCGCAGCAAAAAUCAAACUUAGCUUUCCACCAGAGAGUGUCAGAACUGCACAAAGCAYUCCAAAACAAGGUUCCCUGUGCUGAUCUGAGAGACUGGCUGGUGAAGGUCUACCUAUACCCUGCCAGGGGACAAGAUUGCUUCCAAAUCUCAUUGCACAUUGCUGCUUUCUGUUUUCACAUACUGCAGGCAUUAGUCACUCAAAUUCGCAGCCACAAAAAUUCCUGUUGAAUGUAUGGAAGGUAUGAUUUACAGUCUCAGAGCUGAGAAAUAAGGUUUUGGCACAAAGUAAGAAGAAGGUGGGACCUGCAUGUACAUUCACCACGUGCAACUACUGUAUCUAGCAAAAACACAAAGAAUCUGCCCAUUUGCUUUGCUUAAUUUUCAUCUCACUGAUACAGCUGGUACUUUGAGUCAACGGGAAAAAUCAAACAAGGCAAAGUCUUACUUUGAGGGACUUAAUUUACAUCGAGCUUCUACCAUCUCGGUGAAAAAGGCAAGUAAGGAAACCCAGCAGAGCCCGAAGCAAAGGCAGCAAUAGCUGACACGCAAGGAAAUGGCUGCUGAUGGAAAAAAUCAGUGCAUUAAACCUUCUGGGACGCUGAUGCUUUGUCRCAGAGAGACCCCCCAGCAGGAACACUGGCUAAUCUUCCCCACAUAACUGACCAACGGAGAAAGGACCUGCGCUGUCCUUCCAAGCCUGCCRCCCUUCUGCUGUGUGAAUGACUUACCAGUUCUUGCAGAGGCAAAUCGUUUUGUAGCAAUCACAGCUACACCGUUCCCCAUUCCUGACUCCCAUUUGGACUAUGCAGAGUCAAGGUAGUCUCARCUCGGACAUCCGGGAAAAAAGUUUAAAAUCUGUGUGGUCCAUUUUAGUGCUUAUUAUUUUAGUGCUUAUUCAGUACUGCCUUGGACUAAACCCCUGAGAAUUUGAACAAUAAUAGCAUUGCAGUAUCCUGAGAUUUUCACUUCCUUUCAUACAAUAAAUGCUAUCUCUUGGCCA